GUACCAUUUGGCUGAGGUGAUUCACGCCGGGGUGUAAAUAGUAGCAUGGCCGACCUGGUGCUUUUAUUUGCUUAACAGAUUCCUUCCUCUUCAGGUUACAACCAUCCACGGACCAUAGCGAAGGUUGCCUGGGGCAUACUUCUCGGUCGUCGGAACUACAGGUGCGUUGGCGGUGGAAACUUUAUAUGAGUUCAUUGGUUCACACUCAACAUUCUAGACCUCAACAUUCACCUUUUCAGGACAUGAGGAAAUAGUGUGCCCAUUGUUGAAUUAGCUGAUGAAGCUGAACCUCAUGCUACACACGUUGGAGUGCCAGCUGGAAUCAAGCCAGCUGUAAACCUAGUAGCUAGCCUAGAAGUUAGAGUGAAAGAUGCACGUGAGGAGCUGAAGAAUUCCAGGUGGCAAAACUGUUAUGAAGAGAUUCCCAUGCAGUUAGAUGCAGCUGGAAUUAGUUGAUAGUUUAGCUAUUGUUAAUUGUGUAUUUGUUACUUUGUUAGUUAUAUUGCUUAGCUAUGAUUGGCGUGAUUAGCAAGCAUUAGAUUCAACUAUAAAUACUAAGCCAAGCUCAUUAUUGUAAAUAAGUUUUGUGAUAAUAAAACAGAUCUUAAUCUUCCUCAUUUGAUCCUCAAAAUCUAACUUGGUAUCAGAGCUAGUUGUUUCAAUGGCUAGCAAUGAUUUUCAAGAUACAAGCACUCGAGCUUCAAGCUCAAAUGCAAAUCCAAUCACAAACUCAUUCAACAAUCCAUCGAUUAACUCUUUGGUCUUCAACACUCCGAUCAAGCUCACAAACAACAAUUAUUUACUGUGGCGAUCUCAAGUAAUUGCCAGAAUCAAUGCUAACGAGCUGGAAGAUCUAAUUAACAGCACUAAGAAUCCUCCAAGUCGAAUGAUUGUCAAUGUUGAUAAUGAUCAAACUGUAAUCACCGUGGUCAAUCCACAAUUCCAGAUCUGGAGAAAAGUUGAUCAACAACUCAUGAGUUGGCUGCUGUCAACUCUAAGUGAAGAAGUGUUAAGUGAUAUUGUUGGAGCAAGCUCAUCUCUAGAGGUAUGGCAAACACUUGCUGGACAGUUUGGUGCUAGGUCUCGAUCAAGAGUUCUUCAUGUAAGAACUCAGAUCCAGACAACUAGGAAAGGAUCCUUGAAUGUUCAUGAGUAUUAUACUAAGAUGAAGAUGAAUUUAGAUGCUCUUAGAGCUGCUGGCAAUCAUAUGAGCAAUGAUGACUUUGUGUUGUGUCUACUUGCUGGUCUUGGACCUGAGUAUGACUCAAUUGUUGCAAUAAUCAAUGCUAAGCUAGAAAGUAUAACUCCAUCAAAGGUUUAUGGCAUGCUGUUGAGCCAAGAAAAUAGGAUUGAACAUCAAAACUCUGUCAGUGGUUCAGAUUAUCAAGCAAACAUUGCUUACUACAAAGGAAACCAGAGGAGGAAUUGUCAACCAAAUUUCAACAAUUCUGGAAAUUCUAUUAAUCAGAAUGGAAGGCAGUAUGGAAGUAAUUCUGGUGGUGGAAACUUUAAUCCAACUCAAGAGAAGAUGAAAAUGAAGGCUCCAGCUGAUGAAGAAAUACCUAAAUAACCAUGUCAGAUCUGCUCCAGGAAGAAUCAUACUGCUGUAACCUGCUGGUAUAGGUUUAAGAAAAACUAUGUGCCUAAUUUUGCAGGGAACAAAAGAAGUGCUUAUGUGGCUGAAGGUGCAGAAGCUAAAAGUGGAGGCUGGUAUCUUGACAGUGGAGCAACAGAUCAUGUUACCAAUGACCUCAACAACUUAAGCAUAAGUUCUGAAUACAAAAGUAAUCAUCAGCUUGCUGUAGGUAAUGGCUCUAAGCUUGAAAUUGUUUCUGUUGGUUAUACAUUGCUUGGCACACUUGAACCUGAUAUCCAGAAACACAUUAAACUAAACCACAUUCUCUAUGUACCUCAAAUAACCAAAAAUCUUAUUAGCAUAUCAAAACUUUUGAAUGAUAACAAUAUAUGCAUUGAGUUUAACAAAACAUGUUAUGUUGUUAAGGACAAGAGAAGGGGGAUUGUUCUCAUGAAAGGUGUGGCUAAAGAUGGACUGUACAAGCUGCUGGACUUGCCUUUAAAUCUUUCUCAAGUCAAGUCUAUUCUGAUGUCUUCUAUUUCAUGUUCUAGUUUGUUUUCAAUUUCUAAAACAAAUAAACCAGAGUCUAUGAUAUCAGUUGUUUCUAAAGAACUCUGUACAAGUUGUAAAGAUCAAAGAAUUAACAAAAAUCUUGAUCUUUGGCACAUGAGAUUAGGGCAUCCAAAUUCAUUUGAUCUUAGAAAAACUCUGUCAGCUUGCAAUAUUUCAUUUGGAAAUAAAAUGUCUGAGUUGUCUUUUUGCAAAGCUUGUCAGUAUGGUAAAAUGCACAGAUUAUCUUUCAAAAGUAGUGAGUCAAAAUCUUCCACUGCUCUUGAGAUCAUACACAGUGAUCUUUGGGGUCCAGCACCAACCAUCUCAAACCAGGGAUUCAAAUAUUACAUUGCUUUCAUUGAUGACAAAACAAACUACACCUGGAUCUAUGGGUUAACUAACAAGUCUCAAGCACUGUCAGCCUUUAUUACUUUUAAAAACCAAAUUGAGAAAAGUUUAGAACUGAAAAUCAAAACAGUUCAGUGUGACAUGGGCGGAGAAUACAAAGCCUUUGAACCUUAUCUCAGAAAUGAAGGGAUAAAUAUAAGAUAUUCCUGCCCUUAUACACAUCACCAAAAUAAGAAAGCUGAGAGGAAACACAGACAUCUUGUUGAAACUGGACUUACACUUCUUGCCCAAGCUGAUAUACCUCUUAAGUUUUGGUGGGAAGCAUUCUACAAUGCUACCUAUCUUAUCAACCGAAUCAGUACACCUACAUUGAAUCACAAAACACCUUUUGAGGCUCUUUAUUCCAAGAAACCAAGCUACUCAUAAAUUAAGAUCUUUGGUUGUGAGUGUUACCCUUUCUUGAGACCAUACAACAGUCAUAAGCUUGAUUUUCAUACCUCAAAAUGUGUCAACUUAGGUGUCAGUAAACAGCACAAAGGUUAUCUGUGUUUGAAUCCAAAUGGCAGAAUUUAUAUUACUGCUGAUGUAAAUUUCAAUGAAAAUUCUUUUCCUUUCAAAAAUGAUUCAAAGUUCAUGAUCACUGAGUCCACUCAUGCAUCAGAAUCUGUAAACACAUUCAGUGAGUUUCUUUCAAUAUCAUUUCCUUCUGAAACUCAAAGUCAUGAGGCACCAGCAGCAAGUACAAAUUCAUUGGAUGACACAACUAUCUCAUAUAAUCCUUCUAAUGAACAAAAUUCUGACAACAUUCUUGAUCAAACAAACUCAGUGCAUGACAGUGAAAACAACACACAUGAAUCACCUCAAAUCUCCUUUCCUUCUGAACCAAACAACCAAACUCCAGAAAUAUCUCAGCCCACAUAUCAACCUAGACCUUCACAUCCUAUGAUAACAAGAGCUAAAAAUGGCCUUUUUAAACCAAAAACUUACAACACUGAAAAAUCCAUGUCCCUUAACACACCUUCAAGUGUAGCUGAAGCUUUGAAUAACCACAAGUGGAAACAAGCAAUGCAGGAAGAGUUCAAUGCCUUAAUGAGGAAUCAGACUUGGUGUUUAAUUCCUCCAGAACAGAAUAUGAAACUGGUUGGGAACAAAUGGAUUUAUCGAGUUAAACAGAACUCAGAUGGUUCAAUCAAUAAGUAUAAAGCUCGCUUGGUAGCUAAGGGGUUUUUACAAACUGAAGGGAUUGAUUAUCAAGAAACUUUCAAUCCAGUGGUUAAAGCAGCAACAAUAAGGAUUGUACUGAGCCUUGCUGUUAUGAACAACUAGAAGCUGAGACAAGUAGACAUCAACAAUGCGUUUCUUAAUGGAGAACUCAGUGAAACUGUCUACAUGCCUCAGCUAGAAGGGUUUGAGAAUUCAGAACAUCCAAACUAUGUGUGUAAGCUAAAAAAGGCCCUCUAUGGAUUGAAGCAAGCUCCAAGAGCUUGGUUUGAAAAACUCAUAUCAGUAUUGGAGUCUUGGCAGUUUACCAGAACCAGGUCAGACACAUCCUUAUUCUUUAAGAGAAGUGGAAAUGAUAUGAUCUUAUUGUUGAUUUAUGUAGAUGAUAUAAUUAUAACUGGAAAUAACAAUGUUGAAAUAGAACAACUCAUCAGUAACCUUAGCAGUACUUUUGCUCUUAAAGAUUUGGGAAAUCUUAAUUUCUUAUUAAAGUUAUUAGAAAUGAUGAAACAAUAGUAUUAUCCCAAUCAAAGUAUAUAAAAGAUCUGCUUGCCAAGUUUGACUUGAGAGACUGCAAGGGAAUAGAUACUCCUCUGGCUACAACAGAGAAGCUGAGCAAAAACAUUGGUGAAGUCAUUACUGAUGCAACUCAAAACAGAAAAGCUAUUGGAGGGUUACAAUAUGCAGUUUUAACAAGGCCCGAAAUAGCAUAUGCUGUCAACAAGUUAAGCCAAUUCAUGGCUAAUCCUUUACAGCCUCACUGGGUUGCUUUCAAAAGAGUACUAAGAUAUCUCAAGGAAACUAUAGAUUAUGGCUUGACUUUCAGGAGAACUGAUUUUGUAGACCUUGUGAUAUAUACUGAUGCAGACUGGGGAAGUGAUAUUGCUGACAGAAGAUCAACCAGUGGCUACUGUGUAUACUUAGGUGGAAACUUAAUCAGCUGGAGUUCAAAGAAGCAAAGUAUAAUUUCAAAAUCAUCUGCAGAAUCAGAGUACAUGGCUAUGGCAUUGGCGUGUUUAGAACUGACUUGGAUUUGCUCAAUUCUUAAAGAACUGGAUGUCAGGCUUCAGAACACUCCACUACUGCUAAGUGAUAGCACAAGUGCUGCAGCUAUAGCUUCAAAUCCAGUAAUGCAUUCUAAGACAAAACAUAUAGAAAUCGAUAUUCACUUUGUGAGGGACAAAGUUGAGAGAAAAGAAGUUGAAAUUGCAUUUUUAUCUACAAAUGAUCAGGUAGCUGAUAUAUUAACUAAACCUCUUACUUAUCCCAAGUUCAGCUUCUUCAGAAGCAAACUUAAAGUCUUUCCAAAAUACUUAAGUUUGAGAAGGGGUGUUGAAUUAGCUGAUGAAGCUGAACCUCAUGCUACACACGUUGGAGUGCCAGCUGGAAUCAAGCCAGCUGUAAACCUAGUAGCUAGCCUAGAAGUUAGAGUGAAAGAUGCACGUGAGGAGCUGAAGAAUUCCAGGUGGCAAAACUGUUAUGAAGAGAUUCCCAUGCAGUUAGAUGCAGCUGGAAUUAGUUGAUAGUUUAGCUAUUGUUAAUUGUGUAUUUGUUACUUUGUUAGUUAUAUUGCUUAGCUAUGAUUGGCGUGAUUAGCAAGCAUUAGAUUCAACUACAAAUACUGAGCCAAGCUUAUUAUUGUAAAUAAGUUUUGUGAUAAUAAAACAGAUCUUAAUCUUCCUCAUUUGAUCCUCAAAAUCUAACUACCUUCCACA
rnacentral:lncRNA from 1 species